rnacentral:rRNA from 1 species
AUUGAACGCUGGCGGCAGGCCUAACACAUGCAAGUCGAACGGUAGCACAGAGGAGCUUGCUCCUUGGGUGACGAGUGGCGGACGGGUGAGUAAUGUCUGGGAAACUGCCCGAUGGAGGGGGAUAACUACUGGAAACGGUAGCUAAUACCGCAUAACGUCGCAAGACCAAAGAGGGGGACCUUCGGGCCUCUUGCCAUCGGAUGUGCCCAGAUGGGAUUAGCUAGUAGGUGGGGUAACGGCUCACCUAGGCGACGAUCCCUAGCUGGUCUGAGAGGAUGACCAGCCACACUGGAACUGAGACACGGUCCAGACUCCUACGGGAGGCAGCAGUGGGGAAUAUUGCACAAUGGGCGCAAGCCUGAUGCAGCCAUGCCGCGUGUAUGAAGAAGGCCUUCGGGUUGUAAAGUACUUUCAGCGAGGAGGAAGGCGUUGUGGUUAAUAACCGCAACGUUUGACGUUACUCGCAGAAGAAGCACCGGCUAACUCCGUGCC